rnacentral:tRNA from 1 species
GCCCCCUUAGCUUAGUGGCAAAGCAAUAGUUUUGUAAACUAUAGACGUCAGUUCGAUUCUGACAGGGGGCU